AAUCAUUCCCUUCCAAUUCUCUCUCCAUGGAUGAACCAGCUUCACUCCAUGCAUCUCCUACUCAAAUACCCAAAAUUAUAAGCAUUAAAACAAUUGCUGAAUCACCUGGUCUUACCUCUAUCCCCAUCACAUACACCUUCACUCCUAAUCCCCAUGAUCAAGUAGUUUCAGAGACAGACGAGUCACUCCCUGUUAUAGAUUACUCUCUUCUUACUUCAGGCACUCCUGAUCAACGGUCCAAAAUCAUUGAUCACCUUGGUAAAGCCUGCCAGGACUGGGGAUUCUUCAUGGUAUGAUCAUUUGCAACUUGUUACAAUUAAUUCUUUAUGUCAUUCACAUUUAUAUAAAACUUUGAUCAAUAUGAUAUUCAGGUGAUCAAUCAUGGAGUGCCAGAGAGCUUAAUGGGAUCACUGAUAGAUACGUGUAGAGGAUUCUUUGAUCUUCCUGAGGAGGAGAAAGAAGAGUACAGAGGGAAACAUGUUUUGGACCCAAUAAGAUGUGGCACUAGCUUUAAUGCUUCCGUAGAGAAGGUUUUCUUUUGGAAGGAUUUUCUCAAGAUUCUUUCACAUCCUGUGUUUCACUCUCCAAGUAAACCUGCUGGGUUCAGGUAAUUAAACAGCUUUACCUGAAAUUUUACUGCUGUAGUAAAAAGAUAACACAAUUCUGAAUUGUAUCGCAAAAUUUCACCUAUAGUCUGUGAAUUCUUGGAACGUUUUUGUAACAACAAAAGAAUCUCAUUCUCUUUGUCAAUUAGAAUUUUGGAUAAACCAGUAGUUGAAAGGCCAAAAACAUGUUAUUUCUUGUGUUUGACAUUGCUAAUGCAGAGAGACUUCAUUAGAGUACUCAAAAAAGGCAAGAGAAGUAGCAAGAGAGUUGCUAAAAGGAAUAUCAGAGAACUUGGGAUUGGAAGCUAAUUAUAUAGAAAAGGCAUUGAACUUGGAAACAGGUCUACAAGUAAUGGCAGCAAAUUUUUAUCCACCCUGUCCACAGCCAGAACUUGCAAUGGGCAUGCCUCCUCAUUCUGAUCAUGGCCUCUUAACCUUUCUAAUACAUAAUGGAAUUAGUGGCCUUCAAGUACAACACAAAGGGAAGUGGGUCAACAUUAAUGGCACCCCUAAUUCCAUUCUUGUUAACGUUGGAGACCAUCUCGAGGUAUAUUACCCAUUCUUGUAAUACCCUUUAAUUCGUUUUUCUUCUAUCUUAACCAGAACUUGAAACGUUAAAUCCUUUUUCUUUUUUAAUCUUCUUGCAGAUAGUGAGUAAUGGAAAGCACAAGAGUGUUCUGCACAGAGCAGUUGUGAACAACAAAGUAACAAGAAUAUCCAUAGCAACAGUACAAGGACCAUCACUUGAUUCAGUGGUUAGUCCAGCACCAGAAUUGCUAGACAGUGAAAGGAAUGCGCCGAACUAUUUUGGCAUCAAAUAUAAAGAAUACCUGGAACUUCAGCAAAGCAGCAAUCUUGAUGGGAAAUGCAACUUGGAUCGAGUUCGAAUUCGAGCAGUGUAAAUAAUUAAUAUACUUUCAGAUGAUCUCUAUGUGCAACAAAUUACUCAAUUUAUAACAUGUUGGUGGAUUGAGAGUUUAAAUUCCACCUAUAUUAUGCUGUUGGUAGCAUAUCUACAUACGUUUUACAGCUAUUUACAUUCUACAAUAAGGUGCAGAGUAAAUCCUUCCCCGCAUGCAUGACCGGGCUAUAAAUAAGUCAAACUGCAAGUGAGCUCUCCAAUAAAAACUCGUUCAAUAAGAUUAACGAGUCCAGUUUCUGCAUGUUUAUUGAGGUCAUUUAAUAAAUAAGCUGAGCCGCAAUCAAGCUCAGGCCUCUGGAGGGGCAAUUUUUUUUUUUUUAAACUAUAAAUUGUAAAGAGUACCAAAAUUUUAAAUAAUUUUACUUAUGAUUUAGGUGGACAUGCACUUUUCCAUCUCUACAUUUUUUUUAAAGAUUACAUCUCUACAUUUGUUUAAAUCACUGUCCUCUUAACUACCAUGCGACUUGUAAUUUAGCAGAAAACAAUAACAUUAUUAACAUAAGUUAUGCGAUUGUCAUCAAACGCCGUCAUUUGGAGGAGAGGCCAGGUACUACUCUGAAACGACUUGCCUUUCAUUACUAUAAUUACGCUUUUAACAAAAUAUGAUCCUCACUGACCUCCAAAACUGGGAUUAAAGGUUUCCCUCUGAUGUAGAUUUAGAACACUCAUAGACAUCUGGUUCUUAACAUGAUGUCCAGAUGGAAGUUAUUGGUGUUUCACAUAUCAUGUUUCUAGAGCUAACAAAGUUUUCGGGCAUUGAACAACUGUCCAACCUACGCGCAAUUAUCUAUUAUAUUAUUAAGCCUGUGGGCAUAUCAUGCUAUUUCUAUUGUCAAUUAUCAAUAAUAUGGCAAUGAAAAUAUUACAAUUCAAUUAGUAUUAGUCAAAAUGAAUAUAUAUAUAUAGAUCAUAAAAUAAAGACUUUAAUUAUGCAAAAUAUUAAUUAAUAGCUAUAAUAAUUUUAAAAUGCCAGUAAAUUGAAAUUAACCAAAAGAUAGUUCAAUACGGUGAUAAGUUCCAAUUUCCUAUCAAUAAAUCCUAUUUAAUUAAUCUAUUAUUAAUAGUUUCAGGAGAGAGCUUCAGUGACAGAGAUGCUGGUAAUUUUUGCUUCAACAAUCAAAGAAUCAUUCACUGCAAAUCCCUUCAAAGGAUCAUGGAGAUAACUCAACGGCGUGAAACUUCGAAAACCCCAAUUAAUUCCCAAGUAUUUAAAAAACUUGUAAACUGCCAAAAAAAAAAAAAAAAAUCAAAUCUUUAUCAAAAUAGAGAUUAUCAAAGAAAGAACUGUACAAAUAAAAAUUUCCCUAAUUAAUUAUAUCACCUGUACGUUCAUGAUGAUUCUUAUUGACUUGAGCUUUUACCAGUAGCUUAUAUUCUACAUAUACUUGUUGAGGUAAUCCAGAACUGCAGGCAUCUAGUUCUAGAAAUAGAGACAGACUUCUAUCCUUCUCAUUCAGCUCUCCCUUGGGAUAGAGCAAUAUUUUCCUGUGUUCAUUUCAGUGUGUAGAUAUAUACACACACACACACAAAUGCACAUCAAAAUCCCAUAAUCAACAACAAUCAAUUGCUAAUUAAUUCAUACAAUUGUUGGAACGACUAUAACGACGUACCAUAUAUACCCUCAACAGUAAACACUGGAGAAUGUGACCUUUCGGUUCUAAUGUUGAGAACUUGUCAAUCUUCCAAGUGUAAGUACUAUUUUAAGGUUCUGCUAUAAUCUUAAUUUUCUCGCCUUUACUCCCAGCAAAUUUAAGAACAUGAACCUCAACUCCGAGUACACAGCAAUCGUCAACAAGAUAACCAUUAGACGGAUCUUCGAAAGUUGUGAGAGGGAGUAAUUGGUCAAAACCAUGCUCAGUUUUCAAAUAAUGGUAAUUCUUUACUUUCCCUUCUGCACAUACACGGCAUUUUGUUUUAUAAAUAGCUCAGCUGUUGAAUAUUUGCCUCGUCGCCACCACUAAUAAUUAGAAAAAGAGCUCAGAAGAAUAAUAUAAAGUAAAAUAUGUACCUUCAAUAGUCAAGUACUCAUCUCGAAUAUGAUCAUAAACAAAGAAUUUGAGGGUGACAUCAACCUGAUUCCCCUUAAGAGCUGCUUCCGUUUCUACCAUUGCCAAGUAGAGAGAGAUGUGACCAUAACCAUUUUUUGUCGUAUCUCCAUUCGGAUACUUCAUUAAUUUCCUGUUACGUUUAAUUAGUUAAUUAGGUACUAAUUGAAAUGUAGAACUUUACUACCCAAAUGGACCAGAAGCAAAGCACAUAAUUUGGAAGAAUUAUUUUUGCUAAAUAGUAAUGGCAUAUAUAUAUAUAUAUAUAUAUAUAUAUAUAUAUAUAUAAACCAGAAAAAGAAAAAGAAAGGAUUAACAUAAAAUAUGUAUAUAUAUAAAUACCAUUUGUAACCGCCAAGUUCAAAAACUCCAGAUUCAUGCUUGUCAAAUUUAGCCUUCUUCAUAAUUUCAGGCAACUCAUAGAAAGACUCAAUCUUCAAUGCAUAGUGAGCAGGUGGUGCUUCUCUGUUUGAUCUUGAAAUUUUCCCUUAAAACAAACAAAAGAAGACUAACAUGACAUACAUAGAUUAACAUGUAAUGUAAGUGCAGUAAGAUGCUUUGCCAACUACUUUUGCCUUCUUAUAAGGCUCUGGAUUCUGAGUUCUGUCUUCCAUCUGUCGUCUGCAACCCAGAAAGUUGACUACUAAAUAAAAAAAUAUACUUAACAAUGAUUCUAAUGGUAAUCUCUCCAAAAAUAAAUCAAACAUAACACCACAAAACAACUCACAACUUCAAAGAAGAGAGCAACUUUCUUUUAUUAUGACGAUAUGUUUAUAUAUAAUUGGAUCCAUCAUCGACUCUAGAUUUUCUGAUUAAUUAUCAUGAAAAACCCUUUGGCGUCCCAUGCAUGCUUUUCGAUACAGAAGUAAUUAAAAUGAGCGCAAACUAUCUCUUAGAAAACUGAAAUAAAUUAGAAUUACCAAUGAGACAAUAUUUUCUUUUUUUUUUUUUUUUUUUUUUUUUUUCCAUUAGACAUACGCAUCUUUAUAAGACAAAAAUGGAAGUCUCAAAUAUAAAAAGUAAAAGUUUGAGAGCUUAAACAUGAAAAUGGGAACACUCUUAUUUUAACUAAACUCUUUUUAUAAUUCAAAAUAGAUGGCAUUUAUUUGAUUGUUUGUUUAUUUAUUUAUUGGUGACAUUUUGCACCGUACUACCAUUUAUUUUUUAUUUUCAAUUAUGGGAAUUGGAAAAAAAAAAGAAUUUGUUCCAUACUUCCAUUUUAUACCUGUCUCAAUCAAAUGUUGUAAUUUACUUUUUUCUUAUAUAAUAAUAUUCUAUUUUAUUCAUGUGAUAGUGACUACCAAUUACCCAAAAUGUUACAAAACAAAAGUACCAUACCUACUGAAAUCAUUUUUUUUAUCAUAUCCAGACAACUAAAGCUAGCUCUUUCUUAUCCAGACAGAUAGCUAAGGUCCAAAGGCUGUCUUCCAUAAAAUCUCUAAACUCCAAAAUAAUCAUUCACUUCCAAUUCUCUCUCCAUGGAUGAACCAGCUUCACUCCAUGCAUCUCCUACUCAAACACCCAAAAUUAUAAGCAUUAAAACAAUUGCUGAAUUACCUGGUCUUACCUCUAUCCCCAUCACAUACACCUUCACUCCUAAUCCCCUUGAUCAAGUAGUUUCAGAGACAGACGAGUCACUCCCUGUUAUAGAUUACUCUCUUCUUACUUCAGGUACUCCUGAUCAACGUUCCAAAAUCAAUGAUCACCUUGGUAAAGCCUGCCAGGAAUGGG
rnacentral:lncRNA from 1 species